GACGAACGCUGGCGGCGUGCUUAACACAUGCAAGUCGAACGGGCCUGUCUUCUUUUUUGGGGGGUGGGUUGAGUGGCGAACGGGUGAGUAUCACGUGAGUAACCUGCCCUUCGGUCCUGGAUAACCGCUUGAAAGGGCGGCUAAUACGGGGUGGUCCGGUUGGUCCGCAUGGGCUGGUCGGGAUAGAUUCACUGUUUUUGGUGUUUCGGCGGGGGAUGGGCUCGCGGCCUAUCAGCUUGUUGGUGGGGUGAUGGCCUACCAAGGCGGUGACGGGUAGCCGGCCUGAGAGGGUGGGCGGCCACACUGGGACUGAGAUACGGCCCAGACUCCUGCGGGAGGCAGCAGUGGGGGGUAUUGCACAAUGGGCGGAAGCCUGAUGCGGCGACGUCGCGUGAGGGAUGGAGGCCUUCGGGUUGUGAACCUCUGUUUCCGGUGGUGAAGGCCCUGUCCGUGUGGUGGGGUUGACGGUAGCCGGGGAUGAAGCGCCGGCUAACUACGUG
rnacentral:rRNA from 1 species